rnacentral:rRNA from 1 species
UACGAAGGGGGCUAGCGUUGCUCGGAAUCACUGGGCGUAAAGGGUGCGUAGGCGGGUCUUUAAGUCAGGGGUGAAAUCCUGGAGCUCAACUCCAGAACUGCCUUUGAUACUGAGGAUCUUGAGUUCGGGAGAGGUGAGUGGAACUGCGAGUGUAGAGGUGAAAUUCGUAGAUAUUCGCAAGAACACCAGUGGCGAAGGCGGCUCACUGGCCCGAUACUGGACGCUGAGGCACGAAAGCGUGGGGAGCAAACAGG